CAAGAUAAUUUGGAAAUAGCGACGGAUUGAUAGCGGCUGUUUCUUUUAAACGGUCGCCGCUGUUUAUACUAGAUGACAUUGUGGCUGUUCUAUCUAAACGGUCGUGGCUCUGAUCUAGAAGAAAACGCGCUACCCAUUUCUUUUUUCCCUCUUCUUAUUUUCCACUCACAGAUUUCAAUCUUCGAUACACAUUUCAGAAUCAUUUUCUUAGAACAAUGAAAAUCUCCUAUUUGUAAUUUCUGAAAAUCGUUCUCUAUAUCGUUCAACCCUAGUUUCAACUUCGAUUCAGAAUGUUCUCCUAUUCGUUCUCUCAUUGUGAAAAUUGUUCAACUUGAGAAUCAUUCAACUUCGAUUCAGUUCAAUUCUCUUUCAGAAUCGUUCAACCCUCGUUCAACAUCAGAAUCGUUCUCUCAGCAAAGCCAUGAAAUCCUUCUCAGCUUCUCAAGAAAAGCUUCGAUUCAUAAUCUCUCAAGCUUCAAUUCAGUUUUGUCCAUCCUUCAAUCCAGGUUCUCUUACUUUUAUCGUGCCUCAUUGGAUUAUAUAGUAAAAUGUGGGAAGCAGCCUGACUUACUGCAUCUACAUAACUGGGAAACUUCCAUUGCUGGAUCCCUUUUCUGGGAUAUAUUUGUUAACAAGGUAUUGCUGCGAGAUCCAACAGAUGAACACGCGGUUCCUGUUGUUGAGGAACUGCAGAGGCGAUUGCCUAAACUGAGUGACAUCCGUCAACAACAAGGAGAUGGUAAAGAGUAUCUUGGUGGUCAACAGGAUGCUGAAGCUGCUGAAGAUGAUUAGUAGUUGUAAUUUGGACAGAGUUCGUAGACUGAAGAGUGCAAUGACAAGGCUGACAGCUCGGGUUCAAAAGGUAUGUUAAGCUCUUCUUGCGGUUUAAAACUAUCAUGCUUCAUAUCCCUUUGAAUUUUAGUUAUACUAGAGUUAAGAAGG